rnacentral:rRNA from 1 species
GAUGAACGCUAGCUACAGGCUUAACACAUGCAAGUCGAGGGGAAACGACAUCGAAAGCUUGCUUUUGAUGGGCGUCGACCGGCGCACGGGUGAGUAACGCGUAUCCAACCUGCCCACCACUUGGGGAUAACCUUGCGAAAGUAAGACUAAUACCCAAUGACGUCUCUAGAAGACAUCUGAAAGAGAUUAAAGAUUUAUCGGUGAUGGAUGGGGAUGCGUCUGAUUAGCUUGUUGGCGGGGUAACGGCCCACCAAGGCGACGAUCAGUAGGGGUUCUGAGAGGAAGGUCCCCGACAUUGGAACUGAGACACGGUCCAAACUGCUACGGGAGGCAGCAGUGAGGAAUAUUGGUCAAUGGACGAGAGUCUGAACCAGCCAAGUAGCGUGCAGGAUGACGGCCCUAGGGGUUGUAGACUGCUUUUAUAAGGGAAUAAAGUGAGUCUCGGGAGACUUUUUGCAUGUACCUUAUGAAUAAGGACCGGCUAAUUCCGUG